GGUCCGAUGCCACGUCGCCGGUAGUGAAUAUGGCAAUAACCAGCGAUGCUAUGAUUGGACCAAUAACAACUUUCGUAUGCUGAUAGGAAUCUGUGGAUCUGAUUAUUUACCGUUCAUCCACGGAGCCGUUUUCUGCGAUUACAUUU